AUCAUUCCCUGUAUCAUCUCACCCGAUCGAAAACCCUUCUCCAUCGCCGAAACCCUCGCCGCCCCUCGUGAGCCCUCUCUCUUCCCUCUUUUUAGCUCAUGGUUUCCACCUUCGUCAUUGUCCUCCUCAUUCUCUUCUCGUCCUCCGCCCUUGUUGUCAUCUCCUUUGUUUCCUGUCAGGACUUCCUCACCCUCUCCAAGCAAGAUAGGGUCAUCCCUGUCUGUAUCGACGAGGAAGUGAGAAUGCUCUACCUGGAGUGGAGGGCCAAGCAUCGCCCUGCCGAAAAUGACCAAUAUCUAGACGAAUAUCAACUCAAGGUCUUCAAGGAGAACCUCCGGAUUGUCGAAGAGCACAAUUCGAUGGCCGACCACGGGGAGCACACCUACUGCCUCACGAUGAACUAGUUCGCUGACCUCACCAACGAGGAGUACUUGUCAGGUUCUUCACGGACUUCAGAUCCACCUCUCAGAACAUCAGCAAUUAGUACCGGCUGAGAGAAGGGGACGAUCUGCCUGAUUCCAUCGAUUAGAGGCAGAAGGCGAUGUCAUCGCCAUAAAGGAUCAUCUCAACUACGGUGACCUAUUCCUUCCUUUAUUGAUUUCAGAUUUGUGUGUGUGUGUGUGUGGUCAGUGAUUGUAAAGUUAGAUAUCUUGCUUUUGUUUGAUGAACGUUUUUCCAGUAAGUGUAGCCUUCACCUCUCGUUUGACUUUGGACAAAAGAGGUGCUUUGGAGUAAUUAGUAUGGGGAUUUGCUUCCACCAUACCUCUUAUUUAGGCCCUAAGAAUUUUGUUAGAUCUAUAAAUUUAUCUACCGCUAGCAUCUAAAUCUUGAAAUCCUGAUAGAUCUAUGUACUCACCAAAUGGAGAUUUUCACUUACUCGUGCUGUAAUAGUAAGUCCUUAAUUGCAGAUGUAUUUUACAGGCUAUAGGUUAGAAUCUUGAUGAAGCUGUAUAACUCUUCUAUGUCAGCAAUGAAAGUGGUGGGGUGGAGUCAUCUUUCUUAACUUGAUGGAUCAAUGGAAUUACUAGGUGGUCUUCGACUAAACCUAUGAAAAUUAGAGUGUGUUUUUAUUGGAUAUAGUUUGCGAUCACUUUUUUUUCUUUGAAAUUUCUAUUUCUUCAAUGAGGAAAAUAUUCUUAAUUGCCUUAACAUUUUCAAAAUUUCUGUACUUCUAUUAACUUAAUUUUCAUAAUUCUAUCUAUUGUUGCGUACUAAUACAUUUCAAAGUUCAAUUAUUUGAUGGUUCCUUUAUUGCCAUUGAAUUUUAUUUAAUACAAAACACCACAGAUCUCAACUCUUGACCAAGUUCAAAUGUUCCCUUCGGCAUAUCAAGACAUUCUACUAUUUGGGAAUCAAGCGAGAGCGCUGUGUCAACAUCAAAUUGUACCAAUCUUGCUUCAUUAUAUACUCCACCUUUGGCCUUGAUAUUCCAAGGGCACUUUGACCCGGUGCAAUGAUUGUUCCAAGAUAUUCUGAAUGGAUUCAUGAAAAUGGUGUUACAUUAAUUUGAAUGUCAUUCACAUUUUUUAAAUAUUUUUUACAUUGUCUAAUUAUUGAUGCCACAUUAAAUCUAAUGAAGGUUUGUUUUUUGUCUGUAAGAAUAUUUUCUUAAUAUUUUGCGUUAGAAUUUCUUGGUAGUUGUUAUAUAAUAUUCAAGUUUGUACUUGACAUAAAAUAUGUGGAGCAUUUGAUAGUUUCAUCUUUCAUUAUCUUUUGUUGUGAUAUGUUUAUCUGAUGAUGACUUUUCACAUGAAGAGUUGAACCUAUUUGAUGCAUCACAGGCAAAUGCAUCUUAUGAUGUGGUUCUUAUUAUAAUGAUUUGCUUCAUGAAAUAUUCUAUCAUAUGCAUAUAUUCUACUUCUACUAAUACUGAUUGUAAAACAUUUCAUUUCUUUUGAUGCAUGGAACAUAAAAACAUAGAUGCAUGCUGGCAUUAGAGAUAUUUGGAGUAAUGGUGCACAGAGUCGGUCUCCUAAUAGGAGAAUGAAGUUUGUAUUUGCAAAAUCUUGAUGCUUUAUAUAAUCAUAAUUAAGGAUUUAUGUUUUCUAUGUGGUCAUCUUCAAUUUGUAUCCACUAUUCGUUACCGACUAGUGUAAAUCAUGUUUCCUGCUACAAGAUUUUGAUGACAUUUUGUUUGCUUUAUUAUGUGCAGGUUGUCCUAGAAGUAAGCAUAGAGAUGCUUGUAAUGGUUAAUGAAGACAACGUUACUAGAUGGAUUGAUUAUGUUGUUUAUGAUAAAAUAUUCUUCGAAAGAAUUGGGUAUCCUUGGCUUUUGACUAAACCAUGAAUGGUAUUAGCUAUCUUGUUGAAGGCUUAAUUUGCAUUAAGAAAUGUUCAAAUUCUUAAUAGAUCAAAUUUCUAAUAUUGUAUUAGCCUUGACAUGAUUUGGUUAUAAAAUUAGAUUACUAGUGGUGAUAUUUGCAGCAGUAUUGGGAAUGAAUUUGGUAGCAAUAGCGAUAUCAAUAUUGGUGCAAAAAAAAGUGGUGAUUUUGGUCAUGUUUUUCAGUCAAAUUUGAGAAAUGUGAGUCGUGGAGAUAUCUGUGCUAAUACUAAAUGUAAGCUGCUUUAUUGGUCUGCUAAUGAAUUAGUUGUUGCAGAAGGUCAAAUUGCAUCCACAAAUCCAAACACAAAAGUGUAUCACGUUAUUCUUGGUGGAUCAUGUUGGAAAGUUUGGGUUGAUAAAGUUUUGGUGGAAAAGGUAGACCUAAUUCGACCAAAUGAUGAAAUGCAGUUUCUUGAUGAUGCAAUAAGAAGCACGGUUGCAUGGUUAUCGAAAUUUAUAGUAUUGUGUGAUUGAUACAUAAUAUACUAAUUUGUGUGGAUUGUAAGUUUAAUUGUUGUUAUAUAAUAACUAGUUUGAUAGAGAUUUUGUAUCUUGUUUAA